CCCCUUCUGUGUUUUCCCAACAGAUGUUUGCAGAGGGUCAGCCAAGUGCCUGUGGGCUGGGCCAGGUUGUCACUCAAGAGUUGGGUAAAUCUGCUUUCAUUUCCAUCACUGCUGGGGCCACUAUGUUGUCAGCAUUUAUGCAAUAUUAUUGAGAUCUGAAUCAAGAAUAGGAAUAAUAUUUGAAAAUCAGUCUACAAAAUGAUCCUGAAUGAUGAGAAGAAGAAAUGCUGGAAAGGGAACAUCAAAAUGAAAAAAAAGUCUUUUUUUUUUUUUUAAUUAAAAUUCGAUGUGUUUCAUUCACCCAAGUGCAAAAAGUAAAGGGUAAAACACA